rnacentral:rRNA from 1 species
AAUGGCCUAAGGGCUGAACCAGUAACUUAAACGAAUGAAUAAUGAGUAAUUAUAUAAAGUUCUAGGCAUAAAGGAAUAAUGACUAUUUAUAGUCUAUAAGUAUUGACCAAAUUACGUGCCAGCAGUCGCGGUAAUACGUAGAAUACAAGUGUUAUUCAUGUUUAAUCGGUUUAAAGGGUACCUAGACGGGAAAUCAAACCAUAAAAGGUACUAAUUUCCUUGAGUUUUAUAUGAGAAAAAAGAAUUAUUAGAGAAGAGAUGAAAUUUGUUGAUACUAAUAGGACUGGUAACGGCGAAGGCAUUUUUCUAUGUAAAAACUGACGUUGAGGGACGAAGCCUGGGGUAACGAUAAGGAUUAGAUACCCUAAUAGUCCCAGGAGACAAUUAUGAAUGCCAUAGGCUCGUUAUGUUAGCUUAUAAAUGAAAGUGUAAGCAUUUCACCUUACAAGUACAGCGGCAACGCCGAAACUGAAAUCAUUAGACCGUUACUGAAAACAGUAGUGAAGUAUGUUCUAUUUAAUUCGAUGAUCCGCGAAUAACCUUACCACAAUUUGAAUAAUAUGAAUAUAUUACAAGUGCUGCACGGCUGUCUUCAGUUAAUGUCGUGAGAUUUAGGUUAGAUCCUUUAAUUAGCGCAAACCCUUACUAUAUUUGUAUAUAUAUAGUAGAUCACCAUUAUAUUGGAAAGAUAAUAGGGAUUAAGACAAGUCAUCAUGGCCUAAAUAUUG